UACGUAGGUGACCAGCGUUGUCCGGAUUUACUGGGCGUAAAGAGCGCGCAGGCGGUCGUUCAAGUCGAGUGUGAAAGCCCCCCGGCUUAACUGGGGAGGGUCAUUCGAGUACUGUUCGACUUGAAGGCAGGAGAGGGCAGCAGAAUUCCCGGUGUAGUGGUGGAAAUGCGUAGAUAUCUGGAGGAACACCGGUGGCGAAGGCGGCAUCCUGGACCAACACUGACGCUGAGGAGCGAAAGCCAGGGGAGCAACGGG
rnacentral:rRNA from 1 species